ensembl:lncRNA
GGACCCGGCACUAAUGAGAGGAUGGCUUAAAAUUACACCCAAAUAAUUUUCAAAUUGACAAACAAAUGAAACCCAUAAGUGUACUUUCUCAUUAAUUUCACCAGAGAAUAAUUCAUUGCUACAAUAUCGCGAGCGGACACGGAGAAAAAUUAGAAAUUGGAAAGGGAAGAAAGAAAUUGGAAAAGGGGCGUUAUCCAUCAUAAAUAUCAAGAAGAUAUGAAAACUCCUUAUUAGAGAGAAGUGUCAUCAGCUGGGCGACUGGGUCACGUGACUCGUCCCUACGCACAUUUAUUUACAUUAUAUUUAUUUACUCUCCCUUUGCUCAGAGGGUUUGCUUCGCCUGCUGUUCCAGUGUGCAGGAACGAGCACCUCAUAAAGACCGUCAUUACAAAACACAUGCGUCUCCCACCUGAGCAGACAGGUCAAAGGUCAACAACAGCCCCCCCCUCCUCACGCCCCUCCCCGCCUCACUGGGACCCUAAUGUCAGCGGUGGAGUCAGGGGUGGAGCCAGCGAUGGAGUCUAGGUGGAGUCUAGGUGGAGUCUAGGUGGAGCCAGCGAUGGAGUCUAGGUGGAGUCUAGGUGGAGUGUAGGUGGAGUCAGCGGUGGUGUCUAGGUGGAGUCAGGGUGGAGUCAGGGUGGAGUCAGGGUGGAGUCAGGGUGGAGUCUGUGCUCCGCGCUGUGUUUUUCCUCGGCGGCCACCUGCUCUGAUUCAACGUGUUCUCACAGCCGUGUUCACACAAGCGCACAACAAAAGCCCCGAUGGAGAUAAAGAGACAAAGAGAAGAGGUUCAGCUAAAGAGCUGUUUGGGUUCUGCGCUGGUCGGUAGACUAGACAGCACCCACAAAACAACACGUCCCUUCAAGGUUCCUCUUGUGUUCUGCUGUAUUUUGGCUCCUGGGGCGACAAGACAAACACGAGCUGUUAAAUAAUCAAUCAUUGCAGCCUCGGCAACCAGAUCCUAACAGGGGCCUUCUGCAGGACAGGACCGCCCCAACGUGGACUCCCUCCCCAACGUGGACUCCCGCCCCAACGUGGACUCCCUCCCCAACCGACGGGACUCUCGACCUGCACCCCCCUCGCCCCCCAGAGCGACGCGGCACGGCGGCGAUGACGCUCUGCCAAAGGAGACUUCACAGUCAGACCAAACAAGCACACAAUCUAGUCAGCCACUUCAACCAAGUCACAGAUAAGCACCGCAUAUCUGUACACACACACACACACACACACACACACACACCCACACACACACACAAGCGCCAACGCCUCCGUCGGUAAAGCCCACAUCCUUCCACCGCGGGGGGGGGGGGGGGGGGGCACGGGUCGUUUUUCCCAGCCGGCGUGUCAGCAGACCACUGCACUGAGAAACCACGCAGCUGUUUGGUGAUUGUUGCCAUGGCAACGGUAAACAAGGGGCGAUGAACAAACACCUCAUGCUGGAGCCGUUUUAAUAUUAACACAGUGGAAUAAUCAGCCGAUUUGCUAGGUGACACUCGGGGGAGGCCCAGUGUAAACAAGUUGUGGGAGGGGACGGGGUGUCGGGGGGGCUUUAGGGAACCGAGGUCGAUGCAGAUGCAGCUCGGGGCUAAAAUAAACAGCCAGGCAGAAGAUAAACACAAAGUCGCUCUUCAGACGUUUCUGAAGACGUUCUAAAGCUGCUGUGUUCGCAGAAACAAAAGACAAGGCCCGGCCCCCCC